rnacentral:tRNA from 1 species
GUCCUCGUAGUAUAACUAUUACCCUGGUCUUGUAAACCAAAAAUGAAGUAUUAAUCCUUCCUAGGACA